GACGUAGGGCGCGAGCGUUGUCCGGAUUUAUUGGGCGUAAAGAGCUUGUAGGCGGUUUGUCGCGUCUGCUGUGAAAAUCCGGGGCUCAACCCCGGACUUGCAGUGGGUACGGGCAGACUAGAGUGUGGUAGGGGAGACUGGAAUUCCUGGUGUAGCGGUGGAAUGCGCAGAUAUCAGGAGGAACACCGAUGGCGAAGGCAGGUCUCUGGGCCAUAACUGACGCUGAGAAGCGAAAGCAUGGGGAGCGAACAGG
rnacentral:rRNA from 1 species